AGGGUUGUAGCCUAGUGGUUAGGGCAUCAGACUCACAACUUGAAGGUUAAGGAUUCAAUUCUU
rfam:Macrostomum lignano uti_cns_0000343, whole genome shotgun sequence.